rnacentral:misc_RNA from 1 species
GAUGAAGAACGCAGCAAAAUGCGAUACUUGGUGUGAAUUGCAGAAUCCCGUGAACCAUCGAGUUUUUGAACGCAAGUUGCGCCCGAAGCCUUUUGGCCGAGGGCACGUCUGCCUGGGCGUCACGCAUCGCGUCGCCCCCCACAAUUCUCCGUAAAGGGAACGUGUGUUUUGGGGGCGGAUAUUGGUCUCCCGUGCUCAUGGCGUGGUUGGCCGAAAUAGGAGUCCUUUCGAUGGACGCACGAACUAGUGGUGGUCGUAAAAACCCUCGUCUUUUGUUUCGUGCUGUUGCUCGCAAGGUAAACUCUUUAAAAACCCCAAUGUGUCGUCUCUUGACGACGCUUCGACCGCGACCCCAGGUCAGGCGGGUCUACCCGCUGAGUUUAAGCAUAUCAAUAAGCGGAGGA